GCAGAGUGCCGGCCCGUCGUGAUGCAGAAGGGCAGCUGGAGGUCGCGGGACGCAGUCAAGUGAUGCUGCUGUUUUGCGCCAGCAUGAGCUGAGUUCGAGGUACAGAGACGAGCGGAGAGGCCGGGAGAAGAGCAAUUCUUCUUUCAAGGAAUGAUGUCGAUACAGAGGAAGUAAAAGAGAAUAGAUAUCUUCCUGUCACACCUGAUGAGUGUGAGAUUGUUCUCAGGCUUUGACUGAUUGCUUUUCUUCCAGCGCCUGAAUUUGCGGAAGCUCUGCACAUUUUGAAUACUGGUCCUGGCACCUCCGUUCAAACGUUCUCUUUCCCAAAGCAGAUUGAUGUUUGGAGUCAUGCAGUGUACAGAACAUCAAUUCUCUCCUGCCUCACCACUUUCUCUUCAUCUCUUCUACUUUCCCUCGCCUGCCUACCUUGCUCAUUCCUAAAAUUCCAUCUUAGUCAAGUCUUUGAGUUGGAAAUUGACUUUCUGAAUUUGACUUUUUCAGC